rnacentral:rRNA from 1 species
CACGUAGGGCGCAAGCGUUGUCCGGAAUUAUUGGGCGUAAAGAGCUCGUAGGUGGUUUGCCGCGUCCGCUGUGAAAACCCAAGGCUUAACCUUGGGCUUGCAGUGGAUACGGGCAGACUAGAGGUAGGUAGGGGAGAAUGGAAUUCCCGGUGUAGCGGUGAAAUGCGCAGAUAUCGGGAGGAACACCGGUGGCGAAGGCGGUUCUCUGGGCCUUACCUGACACUGAGGAGCGAAAGCGUGGGGAGCGAACAGG